GUGAGUGGCAGACGGGUGAGUAACGCGUGGGAAUGUACCUUUUGCUACGGGAUAGCUCCGGGAAACUGGAAUUAAUACCGUAUGUGCCCUACGGGGGAAAGAUUUAUCGGCAAAGGAUCAGCCCGCGUUGGAUUAGCUAGUUGGUGGGGUAAUGGCCUACCAAGGCGACGAUCCAUAGCUGGUCUAAGAGGAUGAUCAGCCACAUUGGGACUGAGACACGGCCCAAACUCCUACGGGAGGCAGCAGUGGGGAAUAUUGGACAAUGGGCGCAAGCCUGAUCCAGCCAUGCCGCGUGAGUGAUGAAGGCCCUAGGGUUGUAAAGCUCUUUCAGUGGGGACGAUAAUGACGGUACCCACAGAAGAAGCCCCGGCUAACUUCGUGCCAGCAGCCGCGGUAAUACGAAGGGGGCUAGCGUUGUUCGGAAUUACUGGGCGUAAAGCGCACGUAGGCGGACUUUUAAGUCAGGGGUGAAAUCCCGGGGCUCAACCCCGGAACUGCCUCUGAUACUGGAAGUCUCGAGUGUGGUAGAGGUGAGUGGAAUUGCGAGUGUAGAGGUGAAAUUCGUAGAUAUUCGCAGGAACACCGGUGGCGAAGGCGGCUCACUGGACCACAACUGACGCUGAGGUGCGAAAGCGUGGGGAGCAAACAGGAUUAGAUACCCUGGUAGUCCACGCCGUAAACGAUGGAAGCUAGCCGUUGGGGGAUUUAUCCUUCGGUGGCGCAGUUAACGCUUUAAGCUUCCCGCCUGGGGAGUACGGUCGCAAGAUUAAAACUCAAAGGAAUUGACGGGGGCCCGCACA
rnacentral:rRNA from 1 species